GGAGAAAGUGGCUCUCAGCGGCCGGUCGGAUUAAAAGUAACCAGACUCGUCCAGAAAACUGCGUCCAGGAAGGAAGUGACAGAAGACGAAUGGGAAAAGGAGAACAGCUCACAGCGUUUGAAACAUCGCGGCACCACUUUCAGAUAAAAACAUAGACCUGAAUGGCAUCAUCCAGUAUCCAAGGAAACCAUGUGAACAACAAAGAAGACUUGGAAACUCAGUGAUCAGGGAUUGGAAAUGAUGGUGAUGGUAAGUGGAAUAUCAUUGAUGCUGAACAUUCAAACCUCACUGAUGUCAGAAAAGACAUGACAAACUCCAAAAGGAAACCCAAGCAGCUAUUUGGCUCCCUUAAUUAAUGAAGUCGCCCAGUAUGGAUAAUUCAGAUGAUCUAUUUAGGGAUGCCGGCAAGUGCUCUCAAGAGAAAACGUAUUCUGUUUCAUCCAGGUUCUCUAAACAUGAAUAUGCCUUUGGGGGAAGACAGAAGAACAUGGAAGCCAUGUGAAAAAAACGGAUCCUAAGCAUUGAAAAGAACAACUUUCAAGUCAAAAGAAUCAAGGUGAAGAGAAUGGAUACUCAUGCCCAUGUGAAUUUGCUGCCCCAAGUCUACUGGAGGAUCAAGCUGCAGGUUUCAAUAGCUAUAGCCUGAAGAAUCUCUGUAAUGAACUAAAACAAUCAGUAAAAGAUCAGUUGCAGUGGAAGACAUUAUACUCUAGAUUUUUCUAGUAUUAUUAAAUUUGAAAAUGAUUUAUUCCAAAUUUUAACUUAGCUUUUAAUUUUACUAGUGUCAAAAUGUUGUACUACUUUGGACAACUGAUUUUUCCAAUAGAGAGUCAAUAGCAUCUUUGCAGGGUGGUUUAAAAGCCAAUAAUUUAAUCCAUAUUCUACUAAAACUUUUAAUAUAAGCAUUUUACCCAGAUGUAUUUUUUCCUUGUUUUAGAAAAUCUGAUUUUAAUUGCUAAAACUCGUUUUUAAAUAUUAAUUCAAUGAAAGAAAUGCUAUGGUUUUCUACUUUUUCAUUUCUUAAACUCAAGGGAAAACAUGGGUGAAAAACAAAAAAUUGUUCUGCAUAGAGUCUUCUUUAAUGUCUCACUUUGGUGAUGUAUGAAAUAAAAACCAAAUUGUUUUAACCA
rnacentral:lncRNA from 1 species